rnacentral:rRNA from 1 species
UACGAAGGGGGCUAGCGUUGCUCGGAAUCACUGGGCGUAAAGCGCACGUAGGCGGCUUUUUAAGUCAGGGGUGAAAUCCUGGAGCUCAACUCCAGAACUGCCUUUGAUACUGAGAGUCUCGAGUCCGGGAGAGGUGAGUGGAACUGCGAGUGUAGAGGUGAAAUUCGUAGAUAUUCGCAAGAACACCAGUGGCGAAGGCGGCUCACUGGCCCGGUACUGACGCUGAGGUGCGAAAGCGUGGGGAGCAAACAGG